rnacentral:tRNA from 1 species
GCCGAAGUGGCGGAACAUGGCAGACGCGCUAGAUUCAGGGUCUAGUAGGGGCAACUCUGUGGGGGUUCAAAUCCCCCCUUCGGCA